rnacentral:rRNA from 1 species
GUCUGAUGCAGCAACGCCGCGUGGAGGAUGACACAUUUCGGUGCGUAAACUCCUUUUAUAUGAGAAGAUAAUGACGGUAUUAUAUGAAUAAGCACCGGCUAACUCCGUGCCAGCAGCCGCGGUAAUACGGGGGGUGCAAGCGUUACUCGGAAUCACUGGGCGUAAAGAGCAUGUAGGCGGAUUAAUAAGUUUGAAGUGAAAUCCUAUAGCUUAACUAUAGAACUGCUUUGAAAACUGUUAAUCUAGAAUGUGGGAGAGGUAGAUGGAAUUUCUGGUGUAGGGGUAAAAUCCGUAGAGAUCAGAAGGAAUACCGAUUGCGAAGGCGAUCUACUGGAACAUUAUUGACGCUGAGAUGCGAAAGCGUGGGGAGCAAACAGGAUUAGAUACCCUGGUAGUCCACGCCCUAAACGAUGUACACUAGUUGUUGUGAGACUUGAUCUUGCAGUAAUGCAGUUAACACAUUAAGUGUACCGCCUGGGGAGUACGGUCGCAAGAUUAAAACUCA